UUCAUUAUUUGAAUUAAAAAAAAUCUUUAUUAUAGUUCUGCAAUGGAUUAGUGUCAUUAAAGUUUUUGCUGGGCAGCACGGUGGCGCAGUGGCAGCACUGCUGCCUCGCAGUUAGGAGACCCGGGUUCGCUUCUCGGGUCCUCCCUGCGUGGAGUUUGCAUGUUCUCCCCGUGUCUGCGUGGGUUUCCUCCGGGCGCUCCGGUUUCCUCCCACCUACGUGACCCUGUGUUCGGAUUCAGCGGGUUGGAUAAUGGAUGGAUGGAUGAAGUUUUUGCUUGUGUGUUAUGCAAAGUGCUGGCCUCUGUGAUCCUGAAAUAAAUGAAAGGGCACUUCAUAAUACAGGGUGCCCAUAAUGAAUGUAGUAGCUUCAACACAUAUUGAAGGUUUUGCUAAAUGGUGAUGACACAUUUUUGCUUUGCAAUAGGAAGCACAUAAAUUUAAUUAUGACAAAAAAAAAUAAUGUCCCUCCACCAUCUCCAUUUUUAAAAAAUGAAUGGCAUCGGAGGCAAUAGCAAAGAUUUGUAAGGCAUGAGACAAUCUGUUAUAGUCAUAUAUAAGUGCCAUUUUUGGGACUAGAUUAUGAAAUGAAUGCAUCUGGGAGAGAAAACCGGAUAAAAGUCUUAGAUAAAUUGUGUUUAGUUAAAGAAGGUUAUUAAUCAAUUAUUCAUUAUUUUAUAUAGCACCAUUUACAGUGGUGAUAAUGUAAACCCAAUUUACAUAGUAUAGUGCUGUCCAUGCAUUUCUUACAGCUGGGGUUUAGUUUGAACAUUAAGGCUUGUGGUUCUAGAUACACUAGCUUAGCUAGUCCGGUUCAACAAGCAUUAUAAAAUUUUUUCAUUAGGAUAUGGCUUUGUUUUUAUUUUUAUGGUGAAUCCUAUUGGUUUAUGGUGGCUUUAUUAUUCCUUUUUUUCUGUAAUAUGUAAACUUUAUCUUUAAGAUUUUUUACAGUGCAAUCUUGAAAAAGUAAUUGGAAAGUUGAUUUGAAUCAAUAUCUGGCAAUUAAAAUUUGAAAUUGAAUUUCCUUGUGCCCCAUAUGAGGCAGUACUGCUACUGCAGACUUUAAGGUAUGAAAAUUAGCUUUAGUGGCAUUAUUAAAAUACAAUCAAAACACAGUUUGACAGAACUUGCUCUGCCAAAUCUGUAGAAUAUGUUAAAGUAUGGGUUUUUGACAAGAAACACUUGCUUAUAAACUGUUUCUUAUACCGCCUUUUCAUCAUUCAUUUUCCUGCUGUCUUGUUAUAGCAGAAAGUAAAAUUGCUUGCCUGGUAGUUUCUGAAAAACCUAUAGCACUUGUGUUCUGUUGCGACUUACAUAGCUAGUACAAACAUCAAUGAUAUUAGUCCUUCAAUUGUUUGGUUGCAUCUUUGAUAUUUCAAAGUAUUCACAAUGUUGAACUGACUGGCAUGAUGAGUAUAGACUGUAUAUACAGUAUGCAUACUUUGCUGCAUUGGAUGUAUUUUAGUAAGGGUUGUUUUUGGUAAUGUGUAAAUAUGAAUAAUUGUACUUAUGCUACAGCUUAUUUUAUGACCUGUGUACAAACACUGUAGAAAAAGAGAACAUAGAUACACUCCUGUUCUGCUGGAAACUUUAUAUACAUUAGCGAGAAACUACAUAUUGGCAGAAGUAGCUAAAAUGAGCUUUUCCAAGAAAGGUAACUAGCUGUCAAUUUGAUUGUUGUAAAACCUGUUUUAAAAGUAUUCAUUUGAUAAGCUGAAUUUUAUAACAAACAGGUGUUAAAGUAGCAUAAAAAUGCUUCAACAACUCCAGUUGUAGUAGCAUUAGACUUGCAGGACCAAGCUUAAUACUGCAGACAAGACUGACACUGGUUCUGUGCAUAAGCAAGCAAGGUGAAACCUGUAGAAUGCAGGCAGGAGUGGAAUUUAAAAAUUCCAGAUUGCUUAAAGGCUUAACACAUUAAAAUACAUUUUGGUAUCUUUAGAAUGUGUUUGUAGCACUGUGGCUCUAAACCGAUUUUUAGGUGCUUAUAUACAGUACAUAAAAUAGGAGAAUAUAACACAUGGGGAAUUUAAAUAACCAUUUCUGUUAGCCUUCUCUGAUUUUAGUCAGUCAUGCUUUAUUUAAACCUCUUACAGUGAACACUGAUUUAACAGUUUAGAGAUCAGCUUCACAUCCAUGAUUGUACCCGUUUGUAUACUGAAGAGAGAGAUUUUUAUUGUUUUGCAGCUGAAGUAGAAAUUUUAGAUUUUAAUGUUCAGGAUUGGACAUUGUAUAUUGGAAUAUAACUUUAUAGAUUUAUGGGGCUACAGUGAAGUUUAUAUUUAAGUGUACAAAAGGAAAAAAAAAUGCCAGAUAUAACGCCUUAGAGUGGGUUCUUCAAGGAAUAAUGAAUGUUCUUCUGGAGUAGUUCUGCAAUUCAGUUAUAUGUUUGCCUUUUCAGUGUGAUACAGGCACACACUUAUUGUCUAUCUAUUAUGGUAAGUAAUGUUAGGAUAUUCUGAAUUGUUUUUGUAGAAUGUGGUUCCUGUAAAUCAUUCUGGAAUAGGCAAUCGGCCAACAUAAUCUGGCUAUUUGAGUGACUGCAUGUUUACGAUAGCUGAUGGCUUUCAGAAACCUAGAAAUAGUAUUUUGCACCAGAUUGAGUCUUUUUAAGGUGUUUUCAAUUAUAGCAGUUGUUUCACACUCUGUAGCGAUUCUCCCCAGCAGUCUGGUUUGUGUAGGUAAAUGUGAACAUACCAGUGGCAGUAUGUUGCAGAUCAAAACAACCAGACCAAGACCCUUUAGAAUGGUGGUGCAGUAACAAGUGAACCUUGGAGUAGUCCUGCUACACCAUUGCUGCCAGUAAUUCAUCAAUUUCAGAAUAAACAUAAAUACACACACACAUACAUACAAAUGUCACAUGAAACAACGUGCUCAAGUACCAAUAAUCAUAACAAACCUAGUACCCGAUUCAGAGCCUUUCUAUUUAUCUAAUUAUUAGAUAGAAGUUGACAAAGCUUAAAGCUUACUUGUGAUUUGAUCAGUUGACCCAGGUACAGAGGUUUAGAGAAAUGAAUAGCAGUGCCCUCUGUGACCAAAGAACACCCAUAAUCGUGCACUGCAAAGGAUGAUGCAGACACUGGAGGCGCAUUAACUUUGAUACUAUGUGGUAAGCAUUAAUGAAACAUUCCAAAUGAACAAAUUAAUAAAUAUUUGCAGUCCUAAAGACCAUAGACAUGCAAAUUAAAAUAAACUAAAUAGAGGUUAUGUUUGUAUAGUAGGCAGUUAGAGAGUAAGUACCAACAUCAUACAGUGAAAUAAAACUGAUGCUUUCACUGGCUAAAUGAAAUUGAAGCAAAUCACUGUAUGCUGUCAGCAGCACUUGCCAUCUUCUGUAGAGUCACCUAGAUGAAUCACUUGCUUUCUCUAGCUUGCAAAGUAGUACAUAAUUUUCAUGUCCUCUUCUAGUUACUAGAUGAUUGGUAUAAUUCUGUUCACAGAGCUGUGUUUGGCAUAUAUGCGGCAGUGCACAAACACGGCUGUCAUUGACCCUUCAUGAUGAUAUUUCCUGAGAAAAAAAAUUCUGCCCAAUGAAAGAAGUCAACAACAUGCCCACAGGGUGUCUAUUGUUGCGUUAUACAUUCACUUGAAAGUUUAUUAUGUGAAACAUGACCAAACUAACUGGAGAUUGGAACAAAGUAACUGAUCAUCUCUUGAUUCAGAACAAAGCAAAUGGACUGUGAGUGUGAAAAUGCCUUCAUUCCAACUUUUAGGAAAACCAUUGAGUAAGAGACAAGCAGCAAUGCAAUAUAGAGUUUGUCAAUAUAUGGCUAAAUAUUGGCAUAUUUAAUGCCCAAACAGAAAUUUUUACUUUUGUACACUGAUUAAAUUUAUUAAAUAUUUGCCACAGCCUGUUUUAAUCACACAUGGAUUGUGGGAUAAAUUUCAUCCCUUUAUUUACAUUGCUUUAUAGUUUAUGCUAUAUGAGAUGUAACCCUGGAUGAUAUUGAUGCAUUUAUAUUGUAACAUUUUAUAUUCAGAGGAGAAAAAAAAUAAACGUAUUUUAGAAAGUUGCAUAGUGGUAAAAAUAAAGAAAUUUAGCACUUUAGAAUGUCUUGAUUAAGAUAGAAACUUCAAGAGCUCUGACACUUAGAGGCAUAUCAGAAAAUGAACAGAUUAUGCUCAAAACUCUACAUAACGUAACAAUUAUCAGAGAACUAUAAGGAUAAUUGUUAAUCUUUCCUGUUUUGGCUAAACACAGAUUGAAUUGCCUGCAUCUAUUGCUACAGCUUUACGCUUCAAAGAUGAAAAGAAAACAAAGAUUUCAUUUAGGUGCUGAGAGAGUUUUUGGUUGGGUUGACUUGUGUUAUACCAGGGGAAAAUUGUUUGCAGAGGAAAAGUACAAAUAUAAGAUUGUCACACAAAUAU